UUCAAGGGAGACUCAGCCAUACUCUAACUUAGGCCAAGUAUCUCUUGUGUUCCUCUGCUGGACUCCAUCUUUAACCUCAGCAGAGUUUUCUGAGCUGCAUCAUAUCUGCAGUUGAAUCUCCAUCUCCAAGCACAGUAUCAGCACCUAAUGGAUUCUCUAUUUCCAGAUGAAAAGAGCCUGGAUGGACAGAAUAAUGGAGCUGAUAAGCUCCUAAGGACCCAAAGGAAGAGAAAGAAUGCAGUGAUCUGUCAGUGACAGCAGAGAAAUGGAAUAGAAUGUACAUGUAGGGGAGAGAAAGAAACUUCAGAGUUUUUGGAAAUUAGAAGGCAUAUCAAAGAAUACAUGUUCAGCUUAUUUCAGGCCUGUAGAACUAAGGCCAAUGAAAUAACAUAAGGUUGUUGAAAAAAGAGUUCCAACAGAUGGGGGCUGAAAAGGAGCAAGAGAAUGUAUGUUCAAAAAAUGGGGUGGAGAGAAAGUAGAGGUUCUCAUGAUAACCUGCAAGCCAGACCAGACACCUAGAAAGUAGCUCUUCAUGAGCAUUGUUCCAUGUGAUGUUGGCUUUGCCGUUAGAUUGUAAAGAUGUGUUUUAUGCAGAGGCUAUGAAAUGCAUAUACAGAGAGUGCAAGAAGAAAGGAAAAGUCAUUCAAACUUUCACAAGUCUGAGUUGAACACUAUGCUGUGAAAAAGAUUAUCUACUUGGUGGGACCCUGGCGAAGAAGAUUCAAGGUCCAGCAGAAAGGCGGUGACAGAUGUUGACUCCACCCUCGACACCACACAGGUCCAAAGAGUUAGAAAACGCUGGAGAAAUCUUUCUCCUAGUCCUCCUGUAUUGUGGGUCAGCUUCUCCCAACUAUUUCCUAAAACUGGGAAUAGUUCCAGGGACAGGCUGCAGCUGAGGACACAGAACAGAAGAGAACAGAAAUCAAGGACAGUUGGGAGACAUAGCUGUGGGCAAACUCAGAUCCUUGUGGAUGGAAGUUGGCUAGCCCUGGUGUCAUUGGGCAAUGACCAUGGGAACGAACAGACAAACAAGAAAUAGUGCACAGUCUUAAAGGUACAGAAAAAGCUUCAAAGUCAGAAGAAAGACAGGUGAUUUCUAUGAGUGGAUGGCGGGAGGAGUGGACGGUGAGAGGCGGUCUGGAAACAUCUCAGAUGCUCCAAAUGUUUGCUUUCUUUGUGUUCUUAAAGUAUGGGUGAAAUACCACAUGCUUUUUGAACCACUGCCAUUGCUUCCUUUAACUACUUCUGGGAUUUGUUUUUCCCCCUCAUUCAUAAAGCACUGAUUUAUCACAAAA